rnacentral:rRNA from 1 species
GAAUAAUCUGCCUUGUACAACGGGAUAACACUUAGAAAUUUGUGCUAAUACCGUAUAGGACCACACCGGGACAUCCCGGAGGGGUGAAAGCGCUUUAGCGGUACAAGAUGAGUUCGCGUCCAAUUAGCUAGUUGGUGAGGUAACGGCCCACCAAGGCGACGAUUGGUAGCCGACUUGAGAGAGUGAUCGGCCACACUGGAACUGAGACACGGUCCAGACUCCUACGGGAGGCAGCAGUGGGGAAUAUUGGGCAAUGGAGGAAACUCUUUAACCCCCAGCAAUGCCGCGUGAGUGAAUGAAGGUCUUCGGAUUGUAAAGCUCUUUAAUUGGGGACGAAUAAAUGACGGUACCCAAGGAAUAAGCCCCGGCUAACUAUGUGCCAGCCGCCGC